GCAGAUGUGGCCGAGUGGUUAAGGCGACUGACAAGAAAUCAGUUUCCCUUCGGGAGCGUAGGUUCGAAUCCUACCAUCUGCG
rfam:Daphnia magna strain Xinb3 contig09334, whole genome shotgun sequence.